rnacentral:rRNA from 1 species
UACGUAGGGUGCAAGCGUUGUCCGGAAUUAUUGGGCGUAAAGAGCUCGUAGGCGGUCUGUCGCGUCGGCUGUGAAAACCCGGAGCUCAACUCCGGGCCUGCAGUCGAUACGGGCAAACUGGAGUGUUGCAGGGGAGACUGGAAUUCCUGGUGUAGCGGUGAAAUGCGCAGAUAUCAGGAGGAACACCGGUGGCGAAGGCGGGUCUCUGGGCAACAACUGACGCUGGAGGAGCGAAAGCGUGGGGAGCGAACAGGA